GUGGGUAACCUACCCUGUACACACGGAUAACAUACCGAAAGGUAUGCUAAUACGGGAUAAUAUAUUUGAGAGGCAUCUCUUAAAUAACAAAGGUGAGCUAGUACAGGAUGGACCCGCGUCUGAUUAGUUAGUUGGUAAGGUAACGGCUUACCAAGGCGACGAUCAGUAGCCGACCUGAGAGGGUGAUCGGCCACAUUGGAACUGAGACACGGUCCAAACUCCUACG
rnacentral:rRNA from 1 species